GUCAACUACCCACUGCCUAUAGAGGCGGGGGCUUGAAAAGCUUAGUUGAUUACCCUCAGCCACACAAGUGGCUACGUUAGACAGUUACACCCCGGGAUGCUGCUCAAGUUCCAGGCUCUGUC
rnacentral:sRNA from 15 species